rnacentral:rRNA from 1 species
AGAUUGAACGCUGGCGGCAUGCCCUACACAUGCAAGUCGAACGGCAGCACGGGGGCAACCCUGGUGGCGAGUGGCGAACGGGUGAGUAACAUAUCGGAACGUGCCCUGGAGUGGGGGGAUAACUAGUCGAAAGAUUAGCUAAUACCGCAUACGAUCUACGGAUGAAAGUGGGGGAUCGC